rnacentral:lncRNA from 1 species
CUCUAUUUUUAUGAAAUUGAGAGGUACCCUCGACUCAUUUUUCACUAAUUUCAAACAUUAAUGUAAACCUUUUUUUUUUUUUUUACUAUUAUUGUUAUAUAAUACUUUUCUCUUAGUAUUAUUAUUAAUAUAAAAUAUAUAAUCUAAAUUACUUGCUUAAACUCGAUAUUCAAUUAACUAUAAACUGAAAAGGGAGGGGUUAAUCACCA